rnacentral:lncRNA from 1 species
AACCUCUGUAACAGAGCGGAGUCUUUGACUACAUUGCUAAGUCACUUGCCAGAGGAAUAUUAUGCCUAACACAUCCAUUCACAUCGGAAACCUGGAAAGCAGCAGUGAGCUAGUAGCAACUGCAGUGCUGUGGCGGUGCCAUUCUGGCCUAUAUUGCUGUAAGAACACAGAGGAUUUUGCAGCAGCAGAGAAGAGAAGAUUUUGCUGUAGCGAUUGUGAGGAGUCUUUUCUAUACAGGUCAUUUGGGACCCUGCAGCAGUGAGCCAGUGGAAAUGGAUGUCAACAAAGAACCAGAGAACUGGGAUCCUUUCAGCAUUGUGAAGCACUUUAAUGGAGGAGCACAUUGCUCAGGCAACGCAAACAGCUAUUUAAAUCUUGGAGGUCGACUGGAAGGCUUUUGCUUAGAGGUUCCCCCCUCCCCCCUUUUUUUCUUUCCUUGUUAAUGGCAAGUAUAAUGGAAGAGAGAGACUUCUCAUUGAUCAGGGUCCAAUUUCUUUUACAUCGGCAUUUUCACUGUUUUUGAAAUCACAAUUAAAAACAUUUUUAAUAUUGAGUUGCUUCAGCUCUACCACAUGGUCUUUUAUGAAUGCUUUCUUGCAGGCAAAUCAGUUUUUAAUGUGAACCAACACCCUUCCUUUUACCAUGAACUAUAAUAGAUUUGUUCUUCAGUGUGCGCUCAAAUGUUGUCACUUUUUUUAACCCUGGACAUGUCCAGUUUUGUAUAUUGCAUGGCAGAAUCAAAGCUGAAAUGGUGUUUUGAAAAGGUGAUUUUAGACCUGCUGUUUUUGAAGGACGACAGAGCCCUCCGAAGAACGUCUGUGAUCUUCUGAGUAUUUCCUAUAAAGCAUCCCCCAAGCACAGUUUUCUGAAAGUAUUUUCCUCUGUAGCAAAGGCUUAAAAAAAAAAAAAAAUUAAAAAAAAUAGUAUGCUUUCUGUGCUGGUAACACCUGGUUGCAGAACGUGUCCUGACAUCAGUAAUGUGGUUGCUCUGCUCUUUUAGAAAUAGUGUGGGGAAUAAAAAGAAGAAAAAGCUGACCUUUUGCCA